GACGAACGCUGGCGGCGUGCUUAACACAUGCAAGUCGAACGGAAAGGCCCUGCUUUUGUGGGGUGCUCGAGUGGCGAACGGGUGAGUAACACGUGAGUAACCUGCCCUUGACUUUGGGAUAACUUCAGGAAACUGGGGCUAAUACCGGAUAGGAGCUCCUGCUGCAUGGUGGGGGUUGGAAAGUUUCGGCGGUUGGGGAUGGACUCGCGGCUUAUCAGCUUGUUGGUGGGGUAGUGGCUUACCAAGGCUUUGACGGGUAGCCGGCCUGAGAGGGUGACCGGCCACAUUGGGACUGAGAUACGGCCCAGACUCCUACGGGAGGCAGCAGUGGGGAAUAUUGCACAAUGGGCGGAAGCCUGAUGCAGCAACGCCGCGUGCGGGAGGACGGCCUUCGGGUGGUAAACCGCUUUCGCCUGUGACGAAGCGUGAGUGACGGGAAUGGGGAAAGAAGCACCGGCGAACUACGU
rnacentral:rRNA from 1 species